rnacentral:rRNA from 1 species
UGGGGAAUUUUGGACAAUGGGCGAAAGCCUGAUCCAGCAAUGCCGCGUGUGUGAAGAAGGCCUUCGGGUUGUAAAGCACUUUUGUCCGGAAAGGAAGGGCUCUGGUUAAUACCUGGGGUCGAUGACGGUACCGGAAGAAUAAGGACCGGCUAACUACGUGCCAGCAGCCGCGGUAAUACGUAGGGUCCAAGCGUUAAUCGGAAUUACUGGGCGUAAAGCGUGCGCAGGCGGUUGUGCAAGACCGAUGUGAAAUCCCCGAGCUUAACUUGGGAAUUGCAUUGGUGACUGCACGGCUAGAGUGUGUCAGAGGGGGGUAGAAUUCCACGUGUAGCAGUGAAAUGCGUAGAGAUGUGGAGGAAUACCGAUGGCGAAGGCAGCCCCCUGGGAUAACACUGACGCUCAUGCACGAAAGCGUGGGGAGCAAACAGG